ensembl:antisense Gm42469 predicted gene 42469
CACACACACACACAGAGAGAGAGAGAAAGAGAGAGAGAGAGAAGUUGGAAAGAUGGCUACGGGGUUAAGAAUACCUGCUAUUCCUGAGGACCAGAGUUAAGUUCUCAGCAACCCCAUCAUCAGGCAGCUACCAAUGGAGUGUAACUCUGGGUCUAAGGACACAACGCCCUCUUCUGGAGUCGGUGGGUAUUUGCGCUCACGUGCGCAGACAAGAUACAAACACAUCAUGUAAAUAAUUUUCCAAAACAAUCAUUUUUUUUUCUAAAACUUGCAAAGGAUGCCAGUAGGUCCACGCAGCCUUAUUCAGCCGACCUAUAUAAGCCUUGACUGAGGGAGCAGGACUCCGCAGGCCUCGGGAGGAUGGAGCAGGACCGGGUCAGCUAAUAGAGGAGUGAACGGAGCUGGGGUGGCUGGGAGAGCCUGCGCACCGAUCCGCCCAGCACGCCGUGGGCCCCGGGUUCAGGGUCCCCGGUCCUGGCCCAUGCGCCCGCGAUUACGACCCCGUCUCCUACUCACCGCCCCGCAGACUGGCGGCUCGAGCCCGCGGACGCCCGCGGCCUGGCCCUGUUCACUCGCGGCGGCGCGCGGCGGGCCCCGGGCUGCCCCGCACCAUCCUCUCCGCCGCUCCGGAGACAGCGAGCGGCUCCUCGGGGCCGAAGCGACGACCCGAAGCCAGGCCAGAGCGCGCCAACGGGACGCCGGCUCCGCGCGCUGCGAACGCCGGGCUUUCCGGGUGAAGGCAGAAAACCACGUCACCACUAACGCCGCCGUGACCUCUGACCCCGCCCGCGCGCGACGGCGGCUCGGAAGGGACAGAAUUGCUCCGGGGCGAGCGGUGGGUGGGGUCGGGGUUAGGAGGAGAAGCAGACUGUCUUCGUUUUGCAAAUGGGAAAAGCAUACACGGAGCUGCCUGAAAUUUAUCACUCGCAUUCGCGAACUGCGGUGAGCUUGCUCGGUUCCGUCCCGAAGUGCUUCUGCAGGUCUUGGUGUGUAUGGCGUGAGAUAGUAAAGAGGACACGAUUUUCGUUUAUUUUUGUUGGAGUUUUUUGUUUUGACACAGGGGUCUCGUGGAUGGCAAGAGCUGGCUUCCUGUUCUCUCUGGAGCCCAAUGAGGAGCCAACUACCUUAGUCAUGGUGUUUGAGCACACUAAUACCACCCUCCUCUCUGUAGACGGGACUCUAGGAUCCACUGGAUGGGAGUCUGUCGCGUCUCUGGACAACAGGACAAUUCAUUUCAAGCCAUGUCUCAGACCAAGGACCUAGCUGACCUUAGAAGAAGCAAAAUAUUAUCCCUUUUAAAUUCCUCUAACCACAUUAAUACUGACCUUUGCACAUGAUUAUUGAAAACCCAGGAGAUCAGUUACACUUAUCCAUUUGUCUGGUCUUGACUUUUUUUGUUGUUCUUUAAAGACACGGUUGCUGGGCAGUGGGAAGGUUGUCCUUUGAUCCCAGCAUUCAAGAGGCAGAGGCAGACAGAUCUUUGCAUUUGAGGCCAGCCUGGUCUGCAGAAUGAGUUCCAGGAAGCUGGGGCUAAACAAAGCCUGUCUUGAAAAAAAAAACAAACCAACCAACAAACAAAAGAGAUAAGGUCUUUCAAUCCAUCCCUGGCUGACUUAAAACUCACUAUGUGACCCAAGCUGGUCUCAAACUCAAAGAUCCAUAAGUGCUGGGAUUAAAGGUGUGCCAUGAGACAUGAGAACAUUUGUGAGAAUUUUCUCCUUAGGUAAAGACUAUGCGAUGUUUAUCCCCUUUUCCUAAGGUCUCGGUGACAAACCAAAGUUCCCCCUGGAAUGCCAGUAAAUGUAUCUGGCUUACGUACAGAGCAUAGGCAAGAGGUUACUGCCAGCAGGGAGAGUGACCUCAAAGCAACUACACUGGAAAGUCCUCACCCAGAAUGGAUGAUGGCUUCCCAUAGAAUGUGUAAGUGGAACUCUGAUGCUUGUCUCCUCCAGAACCUCAAAGCCAAAUAGUUCCAGGGAAAUCGUAUAGAAGACAUCUGCAUGUGUAUGUCUGUGUGUGCACAGCAUGUGUGUGCUCUCAUUCCAGACAAUGAGCUACCACUGCUAUGCUUUUGGUUUUGAAUAAGUGCAAGGAGCAGUUAGAAAGGCAGAAAUACACAGUAAAACGUGAUCAAAUCGAUGUCUAUGACAUCAAGCAGAACUCAGAUAAGGAAGGCCUUAAACCUAGGAGGCUGGAGAAGCUGCUGAGAGGUUUUUUUUUUUUUUUAGACAGAGUGUCUUCUGUACUCUUUACAAGGGCUGACUGACAACAGUUCUUGUUAUUUUUAUUUAGUGCUUAUAAUCUAGCAAAUAUUGAAGUGGACUGAAUGAAAAUGGACCCCAUAGGCCCAUAUGCUUGAAUGCUUGGUCCCUAGUUAGAGGAACUGUUUGGGAAGGAUUUAGGAGGUGUGGCCUUGUUGAAGGAGGUGUGUCACUGGGAGUGAUUUUGAGGUUUCAAAAGUCCCUGCCAGGCCCACUAUCUUCUCGUCUCUCCCUACUUGCUGCCUAUAGAUCAGGAGGUAAAUCUCUCAGCUACUGCUCCAGCACCCUGCCUAUCUGCUUCCCUCCAUGGUGAUCAUGAACUGACCCUCUGAAACUGUAAGCAAGCCCCCAAUUAAAGACCUUCUUUUAUAAGAGA